rnacentral:misc_RNA from 1 species
UGAGAGUAGAAUUCAUCCACAUCGUAAGUGAGAGCACGGACGAGGCCGGAGCGGCGAGCGUUAUAGUCUUUGAAGAUUUCUUCUACAGUACGAGGACUAGAAGAGAUGGAAGCCAUUUAUAUGCAUAAACUAGUGUAUAUAUAAUCAGAGGAAAGUAGCAGAUCGGAGAAAUUCUAGUUUGGGUUUCAAGAGGAGAACUGUGGAAGCAUCGAUUAGAGCGUUUAAGGAAAAGAUUGAGAAUAUAGAAAGAGAGAGAGAGAAAGUGGGAAGAGAGAAGCCAGGAGGAGAAGACGAAAGGAGGUUAGUGUCGUGUCAGGAAGAAGCUUUGUUGUUGGCCACUGCUUCGGGCUUUGUGCUAUUUAAAG